rnacentral:rRNA from 1 species
CUACGGGCUGCUGCAGUGAGGAAUAUUGCACAAUGGAGGGAACCCUGAUGCAGCAACGCCGCGUGGAGGAUGACGCAUUUCGGUGUGUAAACUCCUUUUAUAUGUCAAGAAAAUGACGGUAGCAUAUGAAUAAGCACCGGCUAACUCCGUGCCAGCAGCCGCGGUAAUACGGAGGGUGCAAGCGUUACUCGGAAUCACUGGGCGUAAAGGACGCGUAGGCGGGUUGGAAAGCCAGGUGUGAAAUCCUACAGCUUAACUGUAGAACUGCACUUGAAACUUCUAAUCUAGAGUAUGGGAGGGGGAGAUGGAAUUAGUGGUGUAGGGGUAAAAUCCGUAGAUAUCACUAGGAAUACCUAAAGCGAAGGCGAUCUCCUGGAACAUUACUGACGCUAAGGCGUGAAAGCGUGGGGAGCAAACAGGAUUAGAUACCCUCGUAGUC